rnacentral:rRNA from 1 species
UACGUAGGGUGCAAGCGUUGUCCGGAAUUAUUAGGCGUAAAGAGCUCGUAGGCGGUUUGUUGCGUCGGCUGUGAAAUCCCGAGGCUCAACCUCGGGUCUGCAGUCGAUACGAGCAAACUAGAGUGUUGCAGGGGAGACUGGAAUUCCUGGUGUAGCGGUGAAAUGCGCAGAUAUCAGGAGGAACACCGGUGGCGAAGGCGGUUCUCUGGGAAUGUCCUGACGCUGAGGAGCGAAAGUGUGGGGAGCGAACAGG